AGAUUGAACGCUGGCGGCAUGCCUAACACAUGCAAGUCGAACGGGAGUAGCAAUACUCUAGUGGCGGACGGGUGAGGAAUACGUAGGAAUUUGCCCUUAAGUGGGGGAUAACCCGGGGAAACCCGGAUUAAUACCGCAUGACCUCGAAAGAGCAAAGUGGGGGAUCGCAAGACCUCACGCUUUUGGAGAAGCCUACGUCGGAUUAGCUAGUUGGUGAGGUAAUGGCUCACCAAGACGACGAUCCGUAACUGGUCUGAGAGGAUGAUCAGUCACACCGGAACUGAGACACGGUCCGGACUCCUACGGGAGGCAGCAGUGGGGAAUAUGGACAAGUGGGCGCAAGCC
rnacentral:rRNA from 1 species